UAUAUAACUCACUAAACUACAACCGAGGU
rnacentral:sRNA from 1 species